AUGGGCUCCUGCGGCAGCUCGAAGCAUAUGUUGCACUCGAAGCUGCCCCCGCCGUCGCCGGCCACGCUGCUGCUCCCGCUCGUGGACUCCCCCACGUUGGCCGCCAUGCCGGCUGGGCGUCACUCACGCGCCAGGAACCACCAACGACGAGCUGCAACGGAUCAAAUGGUUAUGGUCAUCAGCAACUCAACAACGCAGAGCAACCAACAGCUUGUAAAAUUGCAGCGUAUUUCGACGGCCAGACGUGCGGCACAGGAUUACCAAAGCAAGACUAGGCAGAUGCGGCGCUAUCUUCUCAAGCAAGGAUGGAAUCCCUGA
rnacentral:rRNA from 1 species